AGCGGACAUAGUUCAGAAAUGAAUCAGGGCAAUCUAGAGGGGAUAAAUAAACCCAACUAUACAAAAACAUGAGGCAGUUAGCUUUUAAAGAUUGGUAUCCUGGCUUGGAAUGUUUAGGUGAUUUCACCCUUUUUUUAUGUGAUGGUGGAAAACUUUUGGGUUAUGAUCGUGUUCUUCAGCAUGAUUAUCUGCCUUAUCUAGCUACUUCGUUUUUGUUGCUAGAUAUAUUAAGAACAUAUUGAAGGUUAAGAAAUAACCCCUUUAAACUUGAUAAUUU
rnacentral:misc_RNA from 1 species